rnacentral:sRNA from 1 species
UAUUGGAGCCUAGUCUCCUAUUGAGAGAA